rnacentral:pre_miRNA from 1 species
CACGGACCGCACACAUAAUAUGUGUGCUGUUCAUAUUAUAUUAUAAUAUGAACAGCACACAUAUUAUGUGUGCGGUCCGUG